rnacentral:rRNA from 1 species
CCCUUCAGAGGGGGACAACAGUUGGAAACGACUGCUAAUACCGCAUACGAUCUAAUCUCGGCAUCGAGGAUGGAUGAAAGGUGGCCUCUACAUGGAAGCUAUCACUGAAGGAGGGGAUUGCGUCUGAUUAGCUAGUUGGAGGGGUAACGGCCCACCAAGGCGAUGAUCAGUAGCCGGUCUGAGAGGAUGAACGGCCACAUUGGGACUGAGACACGGCCCAG